GAUCAUGCUCAGGAUAAACGCUGGCGGCGCACAUAAGACAUGCAAGUCGAACGGACUUAACCAUUAGUUUACUAUUGGAGCGGUUAGUGGCGGACUGGUGAGUAACACGUAAGCAACCUGCCUAUCAGAGGGGAACAACAGUUAGAAAUGACUGCUAAUACCGCAUAUGCCUAAGUACCACAUGGUACAAUAGGGAAAGGAGUAAUCCGCUGAUAGAUGGGCUUGCGU
rnacentral:rRNA from 1 species